rnacentral:rRNA from 1 species
AACGAACGCUGGCGGCAGGCCUAACACAUGCAAGUCGAACGCCGUAGCAAUACGGAGUGGCAGACGGGUGAGUAACACGUGGGAACAUACCCUUCGGUUCGGAAUAACUCAGGGAAACUUGAGCUAAUACCGGAUACGUCCGCGAGGAGAAAGAUUCAUCGCCGGAGGAUUGGCCCGCGUCUGAUUAGCUUGUUGGUGAGGUAACGGCUCACCAAGGCGACGAUCAGUAGCGGUCUGAGAGGAUGAUCAGCCACAUUGGGGACUGAGACACGGCCCAAACUCCUACGGGAGGCAGCAGUGGGGAAUAUUGGACAAUGGGC